CUGGAUCCCUGGUCCCCCGUCAUUUUUUCUCUCUCUUCCUCCCAAACAAACAAACUGUUGUUUCUCUCUCUUCGCGACAUCCUUCCGUUCUUCAAUUUUCUUCAUACUUUCAGAAAUUUGUCCCAAAAUUAGGUCUAUUUAAGCGACAAUUGCACUCUAUUUCUCGCGAAAUCAAAUUUUAUAAUGUUCUAUUGUAAAUUUCAGCUACAAUUUUGGAGUCCGUCAAAUUUCAUCUGCGACGUUGAAUUAUCACAGUGAUCUGCAUCAUCAAGCUCAGAAUCAGAUGAGGCGAAUGUUGCGUGUCGGAGCUCCGAUUUCUUUCGCCACCGUAAUCAAAUUUGCUGCAACCUUGGAGGACCUGAAACUGUGGGUGAUGAAUGUAGUUCCUGUCACCGUACCUCACCAGGCACCCUACCAAUUAUAUUUGAACGAGGUUUGCAGUUGGUUAUUUAAAUCCCGAGAAUGAUGAUUUGGGUAUGGAUGAUGACUGGUUUAAAGAUGGUCAGGAUUCCUCGGAGCAUAUUCUUUGCCAGGUCGUGUAGUUAAAUGUCAAGUUCAGAGCCUUAGAAGCCAUCUUAAUUUUUAUUUCUUUAAUGAAUUAAAGAUAGGGCCUGUACCAGGUCCAUGUAUCUCAGGUUUAGAUUGGUCUGCAGAUGUUGCAAGUUGCUAGUCAGGUAAGGGUUUCUGUUACCUGGCUCCAAAGUAAAGCAAAAAGUGGAAAAGGUAAAUAGAAAUUAUCCAAAAGUAUACAAUAUGGCAGGUUCUGGUUGUUGGUGUAUUUUGUUACUGAAUGUGCUUAAGCUUAAACCUAUUAGCUCAAA